rnacentral:misc_RNA from 1 species
UGAUACUCUGGGGCCUCCAAGAAUUGCAGAGAAAAAUCAAACUGAUCAAUCUUUCUCUCAUUGAAAUCACUGGUAGAUUUACUGUGAAAAGAUCGAAUAGCCUGUGAAAAGAUCGAAUAGCAUCACUGGGAAAGAUCAAGAAGAAGAAGAAGAAAACAUAAAAGAUUGUGCGAGAAAACAUUAGGAAUUGAGGAGAGAGAUGAAGAUGCUG